rnacentral:rRNA from 1 species
GUUGGUGUUGAUUACGCUGGUGUUCACCCGUUCCCAUCUCGAACACGGAAGUUAAGCCCAGUGGUGCCGAAGAUACUUGACUGGUAACGGUCUGGGAAAAUAGGGAGAUGCCAACU